rnacentral:lncRNA from 14 species
AAUGAAUUGAGUAGAGGCAGCCUGGGGACAUCAGGCUGAACCACUGCUAUACCUCAGCAGUUUUUCUUGGUCUUAUGGCAAAGAUCAUACACAAGAUUGAUUCUGUUUCCAGUGCCCUCGUAUGAAAAGAUUGCACUCCUUGUCUAUGGAAUGGGUGUAUUUUUUCAUCUUCCAUCUCUACUAAUAACUUUUCUUUAAAACCUAACUGUUCUUCAUCCUGAGAGUGUUUCCUUACAGGCUGUCUCUGACAUUAAUGUUUCCUUAUGGGCUGUCUCUGACAGUAAAGUGUGUACUUUCUUCUGUAAUGAAUAUCUGUGGCAUCCAGUUCCAUUUAUUGUAGCACUGAAGCACAACUCUUUCUCCCACAGAAGUUGCCUGUUAGGCGUCCAGAAGUCCCUGAAAGCUUGUUAAGAACAAAAGAUGAUGGACCAGAGGAGGAGGAAGAGGAGGAAGAGGAAGAAAUGGAGGAGAAGCAAGAAAUAGAUACAGUAAACAGCAGAGCAUCAAACAUGGAAACAAAAGUUACAGCAGAAGAAGAAACAGGAAAAGAAACUAAUGCUCCUGAUGGUUCUUCUUGCAAUAACAAGAAUCUAGAAUCCCUUCAGGAUGGGGUUCCUUUUCUGCCUGAGCCAAAGGUACUAAGGAAAGAAUCUCAGAUGGGACCCUCACAAGAGAAAUCUCAAGCAUCUGAGGCAGUAUGUAAAGAACCUGAAGAGGCAUCUGAGAAAGCUAAGAAAAUCAACAGCUCAAGCAAGGUAAAGCAACCACCAUUUUUUUCCUCACAGUACCCAGAUGAUGACCCAGACUACUGCAUAUGGGUUCCUCCUGCAGGUAUCAACCAUCUCCUUACCCUUUUUAGUCUUAUAACUCAAAAAUCUACCCAAUAAGUAGUCCAGGUGUCCUUGUAACUUCUGGAGAAAAAGGUAACUCAGGAAUACUUUAACCAGAACCUGAUGUUUUCUGGCAUUUUAUGCCACCUAUCUGCUCUAUGGCCAUGCAAGUCUUGCAGUGAAAUACAGACAGUAUCUGUAGUAGCUUCAUCUCAAUGGACAGAUACACCUGAGGUUUGUUUCUGAGUUUUGUAACAGCCAAGAGAGCUAACUCCAGUCACAAGAGUAAUACGAUGAUCUAGUUGAAAGAGAAGCUCAGACCUUCACUACCAAAGGUCUGCAGCUAUGUCAGUAUUCUUGGUUUUCAUAGAAGUCUGUGAAAUCUGAUAAUCUUCUUUGCAAAUGCUUUCAGAAAUCAUUGGAAUACAGACUUUGGGCCAUGUGUUUUGGUGAGAAUUCUUGGUAACCCUUUGGUGAAGGCACUGAAUAUAAAUGCGCACAUUGAAUAUGUUAAAGUUGAACAAAUUCUUUUACUUUAGUUCCAGGGUAUUUUGAGCCAAAUUGAGGUUAUUCUUAAACAGUAUAGAUUUUUUUUUCCAGUUUCUCUAAAAUGGAAGGUUCAUAUUCUAUGAUUCUAUGAUUUUCAUGCACUGGGUUUUUCAUAGCAUGUUCAAAGCUCAGCUUUCGUUUGGUAGAUGAUUAUAAGGCUAUUACAGGCUUAUAAUAUAGAUAGGCUCCAAAAGGAGUAAGAAAAAUGAGAUUCAGUUUCACCGAAGAAAACCAUAAUCCAGUGAAUCACCCUUCAGUGAAAACACUGCUGUGCUCUGGCAUAUGAAUCCACUGGGACAAAACACCCAAUUCAGUAAACGUGGAGAUUGAUCUGGGAUAGCCAGGUGAGCUGUGUCC